rnacentral:rRNA from 1 species
UACGAAGGGGGGCUAGCGUUGCUCGGAAUCACUGGGCGUAAAGCGCACGUAGGCGGAUUGCUAAGUCAGGGGUGAAAUCCUGGAGCUCAACUCCAGAACUGCCUUUGAUACUGGCAAUCUCGAGUCCGGGAGAGGUGAGUGGAACUGCGAGUGUAGAGGUGAAAUUCGUAGAUAUUCGCAAGAACACCAGUGGCGAAGGCGGCUCACUGGCCCGGUACUGACGCUGAGGUGCGAAAGCGUGGGGAGCAAACAGG